rnacentral:rRNA from 1 species
CAAUAGCGUAUAUUAAAGUUGUUGCAGUUAAAAAGCUCGUAGUUGGAUUUCGGGACGGGCCAGUUGGUCCGCCGCAAGGUGUGUUACUGACUGGUCUGUUCUUCUUCGCAAAGACUGCGUGUGCUCUUCGUUGAGUGUGCGUAGGAUUUACGACGUUUACUUUGAAAAAAUUAGAGUGUUCAAAGCAGGCUAUCGCUUGAAUACAUGAGCAUGGAAUAAUGGAAUAGGACUUUGGCCCUAUUUUGUUGGUUUCUAGGACCGAAGUAAUGAUUAAGAGGGACAAUUGGGGGCAUCCGUAUUUCGUUGUCAGAGGUGAAAUUCUUGGAUUUACGAAAGACGAACAACUGCGAAAGCACUUGCCAAGAGUGUUUUCAUUAA